rnacentral:rRNA from 1 species
UGGGGAAUAUUGGACAAUGGGCGAAAGCCUGAUCCAGCCAUGCCGCGUGUGUGAAGAAGGUCUUCGGAUUGUAAAGCACUUUAAGUUGGGAGGAAGGGCAGUAAGCGAAUACCUUGCUGUUUUGACGUUACCGACAGAAUAAGCACCGGCUAACUCUGUGCCAGCAGCCGCGGUAAUACAGAGGGUGCGAGCGUUAAUCGGAUUUACUGGGCGUAAAGCGUGCGUAGGCGGCUAAUUGAGUCGGAUGUGAAAUCCCCGAGCUUAACUUGGGAAUUGCAUUAGAUACUGGUUAGCUAGAGUGUGGGAGAGGAUGGUAGAAUUCCAGGUGUAGCGGUGAAAUGCGUAGAGAUCUGGAGGAAUACCGAUGGCGAAGGCAGCCAUCUGGCCUAACACUGACGCUGAGGUACGAAAGCAUGGGGAGCAAACAGG